AAAGAUGUCGGUGAACUUUUCAAUUCUUUUUUUCGUCUAAUCCAAACACUAAGAACAAAAAUAAACAUUUGCUCGUUACUCUUUUAAAGUGCGUUUCCUGUUUUGUAUUCGUGCCCCCGGUUAUCUAGUCUGCCUGGUUAAAAUAUUUAUGAAGAGAUAAAAAUAAAUAUAAAAAGCCGUUUGUCACCAGAGUAAAUAUGUUUUUAUGGCUGUGGGUGAUUUAUUUGAACUUAACACAAUACAGAUAAUAAGAUGUGAACACUGUGAUAUGAAUGAGUUACAGUAACAGCUACAACAACGUAUAUGUAACAGUCACGUGGUUACUGUACACACACACACACACACACACCACUGGGAUGUAGUCCAUGUUGUGAAUGGGAAUUAAUCCCAAACCCACUUGUUUUUGGCGAAAUUCACACUGGUUUAAAACUAACUUGAUUGGUGUUUUUGGCCAACCUUUAAGUUAUUAUUACCUUACUAUUUUUUAGCUUUUUUUGUUUUGUUUUUUUGCCAAUUUCAAACUUUUUAUGACUCGAAUCCCAGUGGCUAUUAGCUAAAUUUAUAGUUGUGUUUGGCUAACUUCCCUUUGUUUUCGCUAACUUUGUUCUUGGCUUUAGUUCACACUGGUUACGAGCCAAUUCUAUUGUUGUUUUUGGCUAAGUUUAUAUAUAUAUAUAUUGGCUGACUUGAUAUUUUGUUGUUGGCUCAAAUCCCACUGGUUAUUAGCUAACUAUAUAGUUGUUGUUUUUGCUAACUAUAUAGUUUUUUUUAUGGUCCUCAUCAAACUUUUUUAGCUAACUUUAUCGCUGUUUCUGUCCUACUUUAAAACGAACCGACAUGGAGAAGAGGAUGUAUCAAAGCUGAAGAGAGCGCUCUGAGACCAGAGGUUAGUCACAAGAACUACUUCACUCAGCUCUGGGACUUGAACAUAUCACGUCCUACUGCUCUUCCAAAUGGACAUGUAACUCCUUUGGACUAAAUUGCUCACCAGAGUUCUGAGAAUUCCCAAAGUCAGACACCAUUUUUUAAUGACUAAGUGGAAGUGAUGUCACUGAAAGAGUUGAUCCGCGUGAGUGUGUGAGAACUUCUCCUCCAGGGGGAGUGAAUCAGAUCUACUUGUUAUUUUUGGACCAUGAAUGAGUCUGAACAGCUGGACUGUGGACGGAAACUCAGAGUCUAAUUUUCUCCACCGAGUCACCGUGUGACUUGACCUUUGGGGAAGACUUCGUUCCCAAAUCUGUAGAUGUGGGAUUGAGGGGGAGGUUAUAGUCAAAGGAUGUUUGACUGAGGAUUUGUCAGGGACCAGGUCGCUGGUCCAACCGUGGUCACUCCAACAGGGAGGCGUCUCUGAACCAAUCAGACUGGUUGGCUCGUCUGUUUCCUCGCAAUUACGACAAUAUGACAAUAAUUAAUGUAGAAUUUAUUUCUUGGAUUAGAAUAACACCGUUUAAAAACAUGUCUGUGUUUUAAUGAAAACUCAACGUCUUCUUUCUUUGGCUGCAGGACCUGGAGGCUCGAGGACUCCCUGCCAUAUGGAAGGUCCUGCUACAGUUCAAGCUCUACGUGACCUCGUUUGUUUUUUUUGUUUUGUUUUAACCCACUUUGUCUCCCCCUCUGGCCCCUCCUCCCUGCUCCAACAGCUACAUCCAUGGGAUUAGAACAGAGAGGCUUCACAGCUGAGCUGAUCCACACAGGGAGAACCAGAUGUGGACCAGAGGCUGGACCAGAGGCGGGACCAGAGGUCGGAGAGGGUCAGUGGGCCUCGCUAUCAUUGAUUGUUCUGAGACUGUGAUUGGCUGUGUACCUGCGUUAGCGUGUUACUGCCCCCAGUGGCUCCCAGUUUUAUCCAGGUCUGUUCCCUGUCGGUGUGACCCAGAUAUUUUAUCUCCGUCCUCGUCCACUGCUAAAAGCCCGACGGGGGCAACAAGGUAAAAGUGUCAGCUGGUGCGGCAGUGUGAGGACCAGUGACGUCAUCGAACGCCUCGCUUUGUGAACUCAGAGACACAAACUGAAUCGUUGACCUGACGGGAAACAGCCGCAGCACUGGAUAUCAGCGGUCAUUGGACGAGGACGAGGACGGGGUCACGACCCGAACAGGUCAGCGGACCAUCGCAGAGACAAACAACUACAGAUUGCGAUGUCGGCUAUCACGACCUACUUUCUGCUCACAGACAUAAAAAAGUCAGACUUUGGAGCGUGUGGAGAAUGACGUAUCCUCCCAUGUUGACCUGUUUACGCCGCCUCCCUCCCCAACGCUGCAGCCUCCAUUAAUCUGCCUGAAGAUGCAGCUCGUGAUUAUGUAAAAAAGCCUCUGAGACGAAUGGCCGAUGCUGAGCCAGCGCCAUCCUCCGGCAUCGCCGCAGACGUCGUGGGAUCACGAUGAUAACGACGACGGUUCCACCUGGAUCAUGUCGGUCCACGACGGACUGGACUGGACUCAGGGAACCAUGACCUUCACUUGACCUUUUGAUCCUGUUGACCUGAGGAUCAGAGACGCUGAGGUGGAGCCACUCUGAGUAAAGACAGCACUUCACUUCAACAAGAACAUCUGUCUCCUCCUACUAUUCUUCAAGCUAAACAGGUCGAUGCCCUUGUUCGCCCUAUAGCCAACUGGACGAUAACCACAGGCAGAUCUGGAAUUGAUUUAUUCUGAUGAUAAAUCCCAACGAUGCCCCAUGUCUAUAAUGUACACCGGUGUUUCUGGAACAGACCCGGAACCUUCCUGGACAGCGGUGGUUCUGGAGGACAGUACAGGACGGAGGUGUUUGUCUUGGUACCGAAGGCUGUUUGGACGUUCAUGGGUUUGAACCCACGUUAAAGUCAAUGAAUUUCAUUCUCUUUCCUUUCGUUAGAAAAGGUUUUGUUAUUAUUUCACUUAAGUUUGGGUUUAAAGUCCUAUAACAGGUACCAGAAAGUCUAUUCACAUAUAUUGCUGACAUAUAUUUUCCCAAAUUUCUCCUGCCAUCCCAUAAACGUCAGUCCAGAUCCACCACUCUUUCUGGGUCUGACCUGAUCAUUUUUCCUCUCUUACCUUUCCG